GACGUACGCUGGCGGCGUGCUUAACACAUGCAAGUCGAACGGAAAGGCCCUGCUUUUGUGGGGUGCUCGAGUGGCGAACGGGUGAGUAACACGUGAGUAACCUGCCCUUGACUUUGGGAUAACUUCAGGAAACUGGGGCUAAUACCGGAUAGGAGCUCCUGCCGCAUGGUGGGGGUUGGAAAGUUUCGGCGGUUGGGGAUGGACUCGCGGCUUAUCAGCUUGUUGGUGGGGUAGUGGCUUACCAAGGCUUUGACGGGUAGCCGGCCUGAGAGGGUGACCGGCCACAUUGGGACUGAGAUACGGCCCAGACUCCUACGGGAGGCAGCAGUGGGGAAUAUUGCACAAUGGGCGGAAGCCUGAUGCAGCAACGCCGCGUGCGGGAUGACGGCCUUCGGGUUGUAAACCGCUUUCGCCUGUGACGAAGCGUGAGUGACGGUAAUGGGUAAAGAAGCACCGGCUAACUACGUG
rnacentral:rRNA from 1 species